UUAUUUUGUUUGUUUUUGCAUGGCCCCACCCGGAUGUCCGUCCACCCUUCUCUAGCCGUUAUGCCUUGUUCUACAUCUUAACUUGCAUACUUAUAUGCACUUAACUUCACUCUCUUUAGCCACAAUAACACUGUCUUCUCUCUUCCAUUUACCAUCUCUUCUAUUCUAUAGAUUCUUGAUUAUUUGAAGCAAUGGAUAGGAAGAUUGUAUUUUU
rnacentral:lncRNA from 1 species